GUCUCCUUGCAGCCGCGUCGCUCAGUUUGUUUGAGUUGGCGCCGCGGCGCACACUGCCGCAGAAAUUGCAAAUCCGUUCGGCCAACCGCGGCAUCGUCCGGAAAGAAAAUAUCCAGAUAGACACAGCGACGAAUGAUAAAAUCGCUGGUCCAAGGGAGAGAGACGUAACGACAAGAACGAAGAAGUCAUUAGUACGUGCAAUUACGAAUAUCCACGAAUAUCCGUAGAUAUCUUCGUGAUCAGAUUUAACUAUUGCAACCUGCAAUUUGCGUUUACUGUGCGCGAGAAUUCGAAAUAACACGUUGAAUGCCACAGUGGCCAUCGGUGAGCCACGUUACUACGUUUCUUAGGAUAGUAGCAAGCAAAUGAUAAAUCUCAUUCGGCUCGAAAUAUUUUCAACAAUGCGAAUGAUUUA
rnacentral:misc_RNA from 1 species